AUCAAACUGAAUCCAAAUAAGAGAGUUUGUACUCACGUCUGGUGAAAAAGAUUAGGCAUUCAAGUUGAUGAUAUUGUUUUAGGUCAGAUAGGAGUUGUAACUGUAAAGUAAUGACAGAAUUUCUUGUGUGACUCGUAGAACUGGAUCUGAAGUCUGUUCCAAAAAAGAAUCUCUGAAAGUGUUUUAAGGAAUGCAGCCUCACUGAAAUAUGUGUCAGUUUCCUAAUUGGAUUGCUCUGAAGUGUGAUACGCUUUGAUGUAUAAGUUAAAAAGUUUUCUUAUAUUAAGCCUAUUUUCAUUAUUUUAAUUUGUACUAAGUAUAUAGUAAAAAAGCAAGUAGCAGCCUGUAUGAUAACCAACUGUGAAUCAAAGAUCAAGGAAUCAGACUAGAAAUUGAGAGUUGAUAAGGUUUUAUAAAUAUGCCUUUCCUUUUUAGGGGGUAAAGGGAACUAAACCAAGUCUUGAAGUUUUAAGGAACUUUGUGCAUUGUCAGUGAGGGGAAAUGAAGCAAAAUCGUUUAAGAAUACAUUGUUGCGAAGCAUUGAUUUUCUGGUUUGGAGACAGAAGGGGGGACUCUUUGUGGUGAGUUUAAGGAAAUAUAAACAGGAACUUAAAUGCCUUUCCUCUGGGUAUGGUUUUUCCAGACCUUUGCUGUUGAUUAGAGGAGGUGGAGCACUGGCAGCCAUAAAAUAGGCAACAGUUGAGAAUUACUCUUAAGUCAUAUUCAGUUGUUUAUUCAACAAUAUUGAAUACCAACCACGGAUUAGGUAACGGACUAGGUUUUUUGAGAUAGAGCCCUGAACAAGACAGAACGAGGUAAUCCAUUCCCUCAGAGAGCUUAUAGCCUAAUGCGAAUAAUAACUACAUUGUAUGGAUUGCUUACUAUGUUCUAGGCAUUUUGCCUUGUGGUUUAUAUUUAUCAUCAGUAUAUAAAGCACAUACAAGAUUUUUAGUAAGAGGAUGGCAAAAUUUACUAAGAUAUCAAAUCCAACUUCCUAAAUGCUUUGUGGAACAAGAUUGUAUAUACAUAAAUAUAAUAAAAAUAAACAAAGCUAAAUUUUAGUGUUACUAGCCAUUCACCAUUUUUAAUCUUCUUUUUUUUUCUUUUAGGAUGAGCCAGGGCACAAAUAAAUGAAUAUACAUCAUUGUUGACUAUGCAAAGAUGACUUUCUUGACUCCUGAUCAGUAAGGGGGGCAUGCCGUUUAUUUUUCUAGUGGUGAUAAUAGGCCCAUGCUGAUCUUUCUUCCCGUUUGCUUUUGUUUGUAACCAAAAGCAAGGUGAUUGGCUGCAUGUUGCCAGUACCAACCAAUAAAUAUUUAAAGAUAGUGGCAAAUAUUUAUAUUAUUUAUAUAUAAAGACUUUUAAGAAAGAAUUCAGUCAAGUUUGUUAUAAAGUCUUAUUUUAUUUAUUGAAUCCUUUUUUUUUUUUUUAACUGAUGCUUUUCUGCUGGCUCCCAUUUUUAAAUAAGAGUAUUCUGAAUCUCUGGCUUUUCAGUUCCACCAGUUUAAUUUAUUGAUACUGAAGAGUACUCUGUUUUUUAUUUCCCUCUAGCUCAGCCUCAGAGGUGAUCUGUGUAUUGACUUUGGCCUUUCAUGGGCAACAGUGCACAUGGCAUUGAGCCCCUGAGGCUUAGGAUCCAAAGGUGGAAAAAUUCACUGGGCUAGAUCACUCUCACUUUAGUAUAAAUUGACAUUUGUAUGGGAUUUUACACUAUAAAGUAUUUUCAUUCAGAGCAUUAUCGUUCAGUAUUCACCUGCUCUCUGAAGGCUGGUGUUAUUAACCUAGUUAUAUAGGUGAAGAACGAGAUUCAUCCGUUGAAGGAAAUGGCUUGCUUGCCAGUGGUACCUUGGAUUUGGUUCUAUGGUUUUGACACUUUAGAAGUCGUCUUUCCUCUACAUGUAAGCUGCUGAGGUUGUGUGAUGACAUCUUCUCUUGUGCUGUUUGUCCUUCCCUCUUCUUUUGUGAAGAAGGGUUGCUGAGUCACUUGCAAUAGAGCUGUGACUGUAUAGCUCCAAUCCCACCACCAUCAUUGCGUAGGUAAUCUGAGGGGUAGUGACCUAACUUAUUAAAAUUACCCCUCUUCCUCAGAAUUGAUAGACCAAAAAUGAAGUCAUUGCCCAGAUUACAUUUUUAUCCCUAAGUAAUUAUUAGUGCAAAUAGUUAUUUCCUGUAUUUAUGAAUCCUGUUGGUUUGGAAUUCUUCAAUGUGCAUUUUGUAAAGUUGGGACUAUCUGUACAUAUUUGUGUUAUAUAACUAUAGGAUAUUAUAGAAAUAGUUGCUUAUCCAGGCUUUUGAAAAUACAUUAAAUUUUUGCUUUUUACUGUGAAAUUUUGUAUUGAUUUGUUCCUAUCUAAGAGGUAUCAUUACUGUAAUGCUCAAUAAAAACCUCAUUGUGAAGUGAGUUUCCCUGACCUGGAACCUAGGGAUUUCCUCUCAUGGUUGCCAUGUAGUUAGAAGUCACGCGCAUGUUUUUUCAGGACAAGAGAAACAAAUAAACAAAAAACAAAAACAAAAAAAGAACUAUUUAAACUUGAAAAAUUUUUUUGUAAAUAAAGCUUUCAGGGAUUUUCAUAAAUUAAGUGCAUGUGUCUUAAAGAUUUAUAAAAUUAGCUGGUUUUCCAGCAUUUCAACCUGUUAAGAAUUUAUUUUUAAGAAUGAGGAAAAUGGUGGUCUGUAAAUUCUGCACUUUUGACAAAUGGGUCCUGGAUUCUGAGUUGUUGGCUCCUAGGUGGAAGGUGGGGGAGGAAGAGUAUAGAAGAGAGGAGUCUAGAAUGACCCCUAAGUUUUGACUAUGGACAAAUGGAUAGAUUUUAGUGCCAUUAUCUGAACUUUGGAGUAUUGUAAGGAUUGUGAAAGCAAAGGGAAAGAAAGAUGGGUUCCUUGAGGAUAGGACUGUGUGUUAUACUGAUACCCUGAGUGUCUACUAUGUAUGGGUCGUUCUUCAGGUGUUGGAAAUGGAGUAUGAACAAUCAGACAAAAAUUUUUGCCCAUAAGAAAUUAUAUUCUAAGAGGGAUGAAAGUAGAAGUAGAUAAUAAAUUAAAAAAAAUUUUUAGUAUGUCAGAUGGUUGGUGCUGUGGGGGAAAUGAAGCAAGGUACGGAGAGGAAUUACUGGGAUGGCUGUGUUGCACUUUUAAGCAGGAUAGUCAGGAUGGGCCUGGAUGAUGAAGUGACAGUUGAGCAAAGACCUGCAGGAAGUGAUCUAGAACACUGGUUGGACUUGGGUGUGGAGGGAAGAACAUUCCAGGCUGAAGGAUCAGGAGUUGCAAAGGCUCUGAGGCAAAGGCCUCUUUCUCCAGAAUAGCUAGGAGACCAGUCUGGCUAGCACUGAAUGAACCAGGGGCCAAAUAGUAGUAGAAGAGGGUGGAGGGGCUGCAGAUGCACAGGGAUCACGAAGGACCUUACUUGGCCUUAUAAGAACUUUUGUAAGAACUGUUAGCACCCGUUAGAGGUGCUAAUAAUACUUCAGGGUAGAAUGGGGGAGUCCGAUGAGUUGGUGCAUUGCCCCAACCCAUGCUCACAACUGUCAUUCCAGAAGGCUCUGAGUACCGGAGCCAGUACUUUCGUUGGGCCCUAGAAAUUCAGGGUAUUCCAGUCCAGCUCUUUAAAUAACAUGGGCUUAUUUCACUUUUUCAGGUUUCUGUUGCCAAAAGGAAGGGAGCAAAGAGAUUAGCUCUAGACUUCUGCUGACAAAAGAAGAUUAGCCUGCUGGCAGGUUGAAUGUUUUCUAACUUCUUUGGGCUUCUAGGUUUUUUCGUACUAUUGGGUCAUAUUUUAAAAGACAUUUUUACCUGCCUUCAACAUUGCAGAUCUCAUUUAUUUUUUGUUUUAUUUGGCUUUGCAUCUGCUUUACAUUCCUCCACCUUCCCCCGAUGACUGUUACCUGUUACUGAUGUUUUAGCUGUGAGGCUCCAAAGCCGUCUCUGUUAACUUGAAUAAAUUGAAAUAGAUCGAUUAAUUUGAAUAGAUUGAAAGAUCCUGCAUGUAUGUGACCUUACAAAACCCCAUAGGAUUUAUUGUCUUCCUUGCCUUUAUAGAUACAGGCUUCUCUCCUCUUUCACGGGAAUUAUCCCCCUUUUACUGCUCUAUCAUCUAGUUGCGGAAAAUAAGUGUUCCUAAACACAGAUUCCCAUGGCAACAUAACAAAAAGGCCUUGGUGGUAUUGUCACUGUGCCUGUGACAUGAAGGAAGGUAUGUGAGUAUGUGUGUUUUACUGUCAGUCUGCCCACAAGUAUGCAUUGGUUGCUUUUGCAGGCUUAUGGUCCAGAGUGUAGGCAUCACACAACACACAACCAUGCCACAAAAAAAAAAAAAAAAAAAAAAAAAAGGCAAAAAAGCAUACCAACUGUCCCCUUUGUUUUCUUGAAUUCAUUAAUUCAAUAUUGGCAGUGCUAAGCACUGUGUUAGGUGUUGUGUUUAUAAAGAUAAAAAAAAAAACAAAACUGAAAAAGCAGGAAGGGUGCCUGCUUUUGAACAUAUCAGUCUAAAAGGGACACAUUUACAUUGGUUCCUCAGAGAUUGCUUUGGAUGUCCUCUGUAGCUGUUCUAUUCUGCAUUCUUUCACUUAAGUUGCCAUCUCAUAUCUACCUUUAGGUUUCUACUGCUUCCCUUGAAAUUUUCUUUUAGAUUCUUUUGUGUCUCUCUUGACUCCAGUGAUAUACUGGUCACUUUUUAUAUCUAGGGCAACUUUGUGUAAGGAUAUGUAUUGGAAAUCUGUGUCAGACAAGCCUUUUCAUCUGAUGAUUCAGAUCUAGAAAGUGAUGACAUCAGCACGUGCCCACAAUAGGUCAGAACUUCUUCUUUUGAUCUGCCUAGGGCUCAGGGAGGCUGUGUUUUAGGGGAAGCAAGGGACUGUGAGGGUAGAGGUCCUUUAGAUUCUUAACCCAGUCCUGUACUUCCACUUGGGAUGGUGCCCUUAAUCAUGCCCUUAGUCUGUCCUGUGACAUUCAGCCUGAAGUGUCUGGGUUAUGCAAGUGUAAUAUCGAAUUCUUCUUUUUUGUAUUUCCUCAUUCCUGUGGUAAAAAGAACUUUAUCCCCAGAAAUAAAUGCUUUAUUCUUAAUAUCCCCAAGAGCUAUUUCUUUCUUUUUUUUUUUUUACCCCCCUCUUCUGUGAUAUCCAUGUAGGGCUUUAGCUAACUUGAGCCUCUUGAACUUAGACUUUUGCAUAAUAGUUUCUAUUUACGUUUUCUGCUCCAGGCUACGAAAUGCUUGGAAAAUCUUAGUUAUCUUCCUCAUUUGGUGUAAUAAAAUUAGGCUUCCUAAUGAUUUUAGUAUUAAAUUGAAGUGAAAUAUCAAUGUUGACAUCUUAUAUUGAUAAACUUCUAAUAGUUUUCUUGACAUUAUACGUUUGUCUUGCUUCAUUUUCUAUUCCUAGUUUAGAGUCCUAAGUGCCUUCUUUAUGCUUUGAAUGAUCUCCUUUGAGGUUAGCAAUCUCAAUAAGUUAAAUGAUAUCGAUGCUAAAGGGAACCAAAGGGAGGAAAAUAGCAAAUUAAGAAAACAGACAGUUUCAUGAACAUCUAUCAAACUGUGUUUACAUUUCCAAAUAUAAUAUAACCGAGGGUUACUCAACGUAUUGACAUUUUGGGUGAGAUAAUUUUUUUUGUUGGUGGGGGGCUCUUAGGCAUUGUAGGAUUAUUAGCAGCAUCCCUGUACCCUACUUGUUAGAUGCCAGUAGCAACCUCCAGUUGUGACAACCAAAAAUGUCUUUAGACGUUGCCAUAUGUCCCCUGGGGACAAAUCACCCUUUGUUGAGACCUACUUAUAUAACCCUACAUAUUUGGAUUGAAUAGCCCUGAGGAAAAACUAGAUAGGAUAACUUGAACCUUCCACCUCCAAAAAGAUAGAAAAACUAUACUUUCUGUGCAUAUUCUUUUUGAAUUUAUCAUCUGAUACAAUCUUAACAGUAGCCUUGCUCAUACACUUGUAUGUCCAUAUUUGUAUUUCCAAACCUUAUCUCAGAAAUAUCUAACCCUUUGGAUUUCAAGUCCAUUGAAAUGUAAUGUUUCAUGCUUUCCCUUGAUAAUUUUUCUACACAUUGCUUGAGGAUGAUCUCAAAUGUGGCACUAACUACCCUACGAAUAGAUUGAUGUUAUAAGCCUAUAUGGUUCAUCCUAAGAGAUAUGGAGGUGAUGUUUGAAGGAAGCUUUCAUUGGCACUGAUAAAUGACACUGCUCAUGAAAACUGCAAUCGUAUGAGUCAAGUACCUGAAGGUUUCUGUAACUAAUAUUAAGGCAGCAUGAUUUUGAGAGUUAGAAAUGUGUGUGUAUAUGUAUUCGUUUAUGCUUUAGAUUUACUGUAGUGAAGAAAAUCUGUUGGUCAUCCAUUAGUGUUAAAUGUCCAUCAAUGUUAAAAGAAGUAGACAUAAAAUAUAAGUGAACUGUGUAUAUAAAAAAGGUAUUGAUGUGUCUAGAGGUAUGGGUGCAUUGUGGGCUUUUGUAGUUUGAGUGGUUUCAUGGAAGAAAAAGCAUUUGAAGAUUAUUUUGAAAGAUGGGUAAUAUUUGGAGAGGAGGAAAGGGAAUGUUUUAAGGUAACAGGAGAAAACAUAACUAAGAGAAUUAGCUAUGAGAUGGACUAGCUUGACAGCAAGAAUAUCUCAGGUAGGGUGAACCCAGUUGUGGUUCUCAUUCCGGUUGUACUUCAGAAUCAUUUGUGGAGCUUUUGUAGAUUCUGGUUGUACUUCCGAAUCAUCGGUAGGCACUUGGGUCCUACACCCAGAAGUGAAGAACUAGGUCUGGAGUAGGGCUAAGGCAGUUGCAUUUUUCUAGGCCAUGGAGGGCUGUUAAAGUUUCUUGAGUUGUAAAGUAUCGAGAGAAAAGUGUUUUAAAAUUGAUACUGACUGGAGUGUGUAGAAUGGAUUGGAAGAAGCAAAUGUAUUGCUUUUAAAAGUCUUCAGUGAUUUGUUUAUGUGAAUAUUUAUUCUGACUCCCCAGCUAGAUUUCUCAGUUUCUUGAGGUCAAGAACUACCUGUUUUGGUAUGUAUUUAUUAAUCUUGCAUUAUGUUCCAGGUACUGGAGGAUACACAGAUCACCUAUAGCUUCUGCUCUCCUUCAUGGUUUAGGUUUGGAAACAAAUAAUAAAGGGAUUUUUUGUUUUUUGUUUUAGUUCAGUGUCUAAAAUAUUGGCUACUAUGUUGCUGAUUGUAGUCUUAGAUCCUAUCUAAUUGCUGAAUAAUGUAUAUUUUAACUUGAGGAAACUAUAUUUUAGUUAUCCAUAUCAUGACAACAAAUGAUCAAGGAUUUGGUCCCUCAAUUAUAUUUUAAUUUCUCUAUUUUACUGUUAUCUCAGAGGUUUACUCAACCUCAGAUUUGAGAAUAAGAGAUCUAAAAAUACAUAUUGAGAAUCUACUAUGUGUUAAACCCCAUGCUGGAAGCUGAUUGUGAAACUAUUUUAUAACAGCAUGUUAUUUCAACUUAAAACAUUUAAAUUUUUUUUAAUGUUUAUUUAUUUUUGAGAGAGAGAGAGACAGAAUGCAGGUGGGUUAGGGACAGAGAGAGAGGGAGACACAGAAUCUGAAGCAGGCUCCAGGCUCUGAGCUGUCAGCACAGAGCCCGACGUGGGGCUUGAACUUACGAGCUGUGAGAUCAUGACCUGAGCCGAAGUCGGACGCUCAACUGACUGAGCCACCCAGGCACCCCUCAACUUAAAACAUUUAAAACUAUCUUUUAUAGUUCGUAAAGUAGUCACAUAAUCUUAUUUGAAUCUCAAAACAGCAUUGUGAGAUAAAGAGAGCUGGUGAUACCCCCAUUUUAUUGAUUUGGGAACAGGCUUGUAGAAACUUUGUCUGAGAUCACCUGCUAGGAAGUGCCAGAACCAAAACUAGAACUCAGAUCUUUUGACUACUAGUUUACUUUUCUCUGUAUCACACCGCAUAUGUUUAUGCUUAAUAGAAAAUUUUGAGAUUAGAGCAUCAAAAUCCCGCAGAGACCAUUCACUAGGAUGAAAAGUAGCUUUGUUAAAUGGAAUUCCAGUGAUUUUCCUUGGGCAGUAAAAAGAUUCUUAAGUAACACAAUAUUCCCAAAAGUAACUGAGAUAUCUUGAAAAUUCCAAUAUUUUUUUAAAAAAAUCAAGUCACUCUGUUUAGUGAUUUAAAAAUAUGACCAUAAGUUAUUUGAUGCUUCUCCUUUACAGAAGUGGAGCUCAUAAUCUUCACCCUCAGUGAAGGUUGCACUUACUGACUCACUGUUCUAAUAUAUGGAAUGUGUAGUAAUGAUGGAGUGUGAUUUCUAAGGGUAGGUCAUAAAAGAUAUGUGGCCCCCAUCUUGCUCUUUUCUCUGAACGUUUCUCUGAAAUGAAUUUCUCUAGAGCAGUUUUUCAACUUCAGCACUAUUGACAUUUUGGGCCAGAUAACUCUUUGCUGUGAGGGAUGUUUAGCAGUAUCCCUGGCCUCUACCCAUAUAGAGAUGCCAAUAGCACCCCCCUGCCCAGCCCCCUCAACACUGCCCCCCCUCAGGUGUAAUAGGCAAAAAUGACUCAGCCAUUAUCCAGUAUCCCCUGGGGGAAAACUGCCUUCUGUUGAGAACCACCACUUCAGGGACAGCCAGCAGCGAUGCUGAGAAGACACCCAAGCAGUCCUGAAGAGAAGCCCACAUUGCGGAGAACUGAGGCCUGCCAAAGCCAUGUAAGGCAGCCAUCCUGGAAGUGGCGCUUCCAGCCUCGGUCAAGCCUUCAGAUGACUGUAGCCAACUAAGGCCAGCAUCCUGACUGCACCCUCAUGAGAGACUAUGAGCCAGAACCACUCAGCAUCCUGCUCCCCAAUUCCUGACUCACAAAAACUGUGAGAUAAUAAAUCUUGUUUAAGCCACCAAAUUUGGGGUAAUACCAUUAAAUGUUACUGUAAAAUAUAUGUCAUAUAAGAUGGUGAGUCACAGCCUAAGCAAACCAAAAAUUGUGAAGGCACAUUAAUGCCUGUUACAUGCAUCUAUAGAUACUCAUGUUCAUAGCAUAUACUUGUAAGGGUGCUUUUCUGGAUAUGAAGCCUAUCAGCACUAUUACUGUAAAAGCCUUUUAAUUGUAGUAGCAAAGCAAAGUUCAUUGAUUGUAAUACUAAAUAGUUACAAUGUAAUGUGGUUAGUUUAUUUCAUAUUUGCUUGCAUGCAGUUAAAAAUUAUUUAAUGAUAACUUCAAAACGUUUGUUACUGAAGUUUUCAAACACAAAAGUAGAGAAGAUAAACCCAUGGUGACAACAUUCUAAUGAGGCUUGGGAAAAUAAUGCCACAUGUAAUAAAAUAAUCCACAUGUAAUAUUUUUGUAAUCAACAUGAGGUAACUAUUGUUCUUGAUGCAUAUGUAUCAUUUUGCAUUUGCAAUAAAAAAAAUACGUUAACA